rnacentral:rRNA from 1 species
CCUACGGGAGGCAGCAGUGAGGAAUAUUGGUCAAUGGGCGCGAGCCUGAACCAGCCAAGUAGCGUGAAGGAUGACUGCCCUACGGGUUGUAAACUUCUUUUAUAAAGGAAUAAAGUGAGGCACGUGUGCCUUUUUGUAUGUACUUUAUGAAUAAGGAUCGGCUAACUCCGUGCCAGCAGCCGCGGUAAUACGGAGGAUCCGAGCGUUAUCCGGAUUUACUGGGUGUAAAGGGCGUGUAGCCGGGUUGACAAGUCAGAUGUGAAAUCCUGCGGCUUAACCGCAGAACUGCAUUUGAAACUGUGGAU